ACCCGCACAAGCGGUGGAUGAUGUGGAUUAAUUCGAUGCAACGCGAAGAACCUUACCUACCCUUGACAUGUCCGGAACUUGCCAGAGAUGGCUUGGUGCCCGAAAGGGAAUCGGAACACAGGUGCUGCAUGGCUGUCGUCAGCUCGUGUCGUGAGAUGUUGGGUUAAGUCCCGCAACGAGCGCAACCCUUAUCAUUAGUUGCUACGCAAGGGCACUCUAAUGAGACUGCCGGUGACAAAUCGGAGGAAGGUGGGGAUGACGUCAAGUCCUCAUGGCCCUUAUGGGUAGGGCUUCACACGUCAUACAAUGGUCGGUACAGAGGGUUGCCAAGCCGCGAGGCGGAGCCAAUCCCACAAAGCCGAUCGCAGUCCGGAUUGUUCUCUGCAACCCGAGAGCAUGAAGUCGGAAUCGCUAGUAAUCGCAGGUCAGCAUACUGCGGUGAAUACGUUCCCGGGUCUU
rnacentral:rRNA from 1 species